AUUGAACGCUGGCGGCAUGCUUUACACACGCAAGUCGAACGGCAGCGCGGGGGCAACCCUGGCGGCGAGUGGCGAACGGGUGAGUAAUGCAUCGGAACGUAUCCUGUAAUGGGGGAUAACUAAUCGAAAGAUUAGCUAAUACCGCAUACGCUCGGGAGCGGAAAGUGGGGGAUCGCAAGCCCUCCAGUUAUAGGAGCGGCCGAUGUCUGAUUAGCUAGAUGGUGGGGUAAUGGCUCACCAAGGCGACGAUCCGUAACUGGUCUGAGAGGAUGAUCAGUCACACUGGAACUGAGACACGGUCCAGACUCCUACGAGAGGCAGCAGUGGGGAAUAUUGGACAAUGGGCGCAAGCCUGAUCCAGCCAUGCCGCUUGUGUGAAGAAGGCCUUCGGGUUGUAAAGCACUUUCAGUAAGGAGGAAGCGUUGAGUGUUAAUAGUACUCAGCGUUGACGUUACUUACAGAAGAAGCACCGGCUAACUCUGUGCCAGCCGCCGCUGUAAAAC
rnacentral:rRNA from 1 species